rnacentral:rRNA from 1 species
CGAACGCUGGCGGCGUGCUUAACACAUGCAAGUCGAACGAAGAGCGAUGGAAGCUUGCUUCUAUCAAUCUUAGUGGCGAACGGGUGAGUAACGCGUAAUCAACCUGCCCUUCAGAGGGGGACAACAGUUGGAAACGACUGCUAAUACCGCAUACGAUCUAAUCUCGGCAUCGAGGAUAGAUGAAAGGUGGCCUCUACAUGUAAGCUAUCACUGAAGGAGGGGAUUGCGUCUGAUUAGCUAGUUGGAGGGGUAACGGCCCACCAAGGCGAUGAUCAGUAGCCGGUCUGAGAGGAUGAACGGCCACAUUGGGACUGAGACACGGCCCAGACUCCUACGGGAGGCAGCAGUGGGGAAUCUUCCGCAAUGGACGAAAGUCUGACGGAGCAACGCCGCGUGAGUGAUGACGGCCUUCGGGUUGUAAAGCUCUGUUAAUCGGGACGAAAGGCCUUCUUGCGAAUAGUGAGAAGGAUUGACG